ACACAGAAUCCAAAGCAGGCUCCAGGCUGUCGGCCGAGAGCCCAAUACAGGACUCAAACCCAUGAGCUGUAAGAUCAUGACCUGGGCCGAAGUCAGAUGCUUAACGGACUGAGCCACCCAGGCGUCCCUAUUGUAGUGUAUUUAAAUAUUCCUUUCUUGUUUGACAUUUAGAUUGUUUCCAGUAGAGUAUUUCCAAAGUCUCUGUCCAUGUAGAAGAAAAAGCUUGAUUGGAAGCUUAACAGAAAUAAACUUUAAAGCCCCCAAAAUAUUUCUCUAAAUUCAGAAAUGUAAUCUUAUACCCCCCCCCUAAUUUAUUAAAGCUUUCACUUGACUUCUAUGAAGGUCAUUAUUUCAUAUUAGAAAAGAUAACCUUAUUUAUGUAUGCACUCAGAAUAGAUACAGUUGUUUCCGAUAAUAGUUAUGUGAUCCAUUCUAGGGCAUAUUAUUGUUGGCAUAGAUUAAUAUCAUUGUUUAUAUUUAUAACCUUGUCUUAGCAGGUAAGCAAGUGCUUGUUACCAUGAUGAUUUCAGAGCAACUGCUGUCUGCACAAUGGAAGGUCCAAAAAGCAACUAAAAAGGGAAGGAGAAUAGCUGAAAGUUUUUUGAAAAGAACUCAUGUUUGAAGACGCUGGUGUGGAAAAUUAGAGUGGGGUUCGUCUUCAAAUUUUAGGAUAUGAAGAAACAUAUGGAACAUAAACUGAAACAAAUUUAAAUGGAGGUCCUGGAGAAGUAGUCCUUUGACUUUCAGGACAUCAUAAACAGAAGAAGGCAUUAGAAAUUUUUUCAAGAGAAAUUGCACAAGCAGGGCCUGCCUGGAAUGGUGGAAAGUAGGGCACACGAUAGUCUAUUUUUCCGAGGCACAACAUGGGGACAGGUCGACAAAAUUUUACGUCAUGCCUAUUAAGAGUUUCCAGCUUUCCGCUUUCAGUAUCUGUGCCUUCACUGCUCAAAGCCCACCUUCAGCAACCCAGUUCCACAUCUGAGAUUGCAGCACGCCAUUUCAAGCACCUGAUCUGAUGGCAGUGGGUUGAAGGUCAUCCAAAAGUGUUGCUGUCCACAUUAAUGAAGAACACGUUGAAACCUUUCACGAAGAUCUCAUUUUUACACUGGACACAUUGGCUUCACCAAAUUUACCCAAGAUAGGUGAUGACCUAAAGGAGUGGAAUUUUAAACCAGUCUGUCUGGAAGGUCCUGAUCAUUACUGGUGAGGUAAUCUUGAUAAGACCCCUGCCUUCCCCUACAGGAAGGUAACUUACCUGAAAUAAUCCAUUCUUUUAACUUCCUUAUCCUGCCCUCUUUCUGCUUAUAAAAUCCUCCAUUUUGUAUAGCCCCACAGAGCUCCUUUCUUCGUACUAGAUGGGUUGCUGCCUACUUUAUGAAUCACUGAAUAAAGCCAGCUGGAUCUUCAAAUUUAGUCAGUUGAAAUUUUUUUAACAAUUCAACUAAUAUUGUCACUAAAUCUCAUUUUUACUAUAGGUUUUACAUAAGUGGAAUUUCUUGUAAAAAUUGUUUAAUUUUGAGAGAGAAAAGAGAGAGAGCCCAUGAGCAGGGGAGGGGCAGAAGACAGAGAGAGAGAGAGAGAGAGAGAGAAUCCCAAGCAGGCUCUGCACUGUCAGUGCAGAGACCAACGUGAGGCACGAUCCUACAAACCCGUGAGAUCAUGACCUGAGCCGAGAUCAAGAAUCAGACAUGCAACCAACUGAACUACCCAGGUACUCCACAAAAUUGGAAUUUUUUAAAGCAAAUAUAUGUAUUUAUGCCUCAUAAAUGUUAAGUGUUCCUAGAGGUCUAAAGAAACAUGAGGUGUAUUCAACCUAGAGUGCUAAGAUUCCUCCAAAAAGGGAUUAUCUAAUUUUGACCAAUGAAGCUGUUCUAUGUAACUUCCAUGUCAGAACAACCACAUUCCAUAUGACCAUCUUUUAAUUUUUUUAUAUAUCUUUUCAAUUUUCUUCCAUUGGUAGAUCUACCAAGUGGCUCGCUGACAUAUCACUUAGAAGGUCUGCCUAUUACAACAAAUGGGACAAAGGUAACCCUGCAAAAUAGGUGUUUUUGCUUAAAAAAAAAAAAUUAUAUCUCUAAACUUGAUUUC